GGCAUCCGGAACGGCCAGACUAGAGUGCAGGAGAGGAAGGUAGAAUUCCCGGUGUAGCGGUGAAAUGCGUAGAGAUCGGGAGGAAUACCAGUGGCGAAGGCGGCCUUCUGGCCUGACACUGACACUGAGGUGCGAAAGCGUGGGUAGCAAACAGGAUUAGAUACCCUGGUAGUCCACGCCGUAAACGAUGUCGACUAGCCGUUGGGACCUUUAAGGACUUAGUGGCGCAGUUAACGCGAUAAGUCGACCGCCUGGGGAGUACGGCCGCAAGGUUAAAACUCAAAUGAAUUGACGGGGGCCCGCACAAGCGGUGGAGCAUGUGGUUUAAUUCGAUGCAACGCGAAGAACCUUACCUACCCUUGACAUCCAGAGAACUUGGCAGAGAUGCCUUGGUGCCUUCGGGAACUCUGAGACAGGUGCUGCAUGGCUGUCGUCAGCUCGUGUUGUGAAAUGUUGGGUUAAGUCCCGUAACGAGCGCAACCCUUGUCCCUAUUUGCCAGCGAUUCGGUCGGGAACUCUAGGGAGACUGCCGGUGACAAACCGGAGGAAGGUGGGGACGACGUCAAGUCAUCAUGGCCCUUACGGGUAGGGCUACACACGUGCUACAAUGG
rnacentral:rRNA from 1 species